rnacentral:sRNA from 1 species
AGGAGACUGCCGGGGUCAACUCGGAGGAAGGUGGGGAUGACGUCAAGUCAUCAUGCCCCUUACGUCCUGGGCUGCACACAUGCUACAAUGGCCGGUACAAAGGGCUGCGAUACCACAAGGUGGAGCGAAUCCCAAAAAGCCGGUCUCAGUUCGGAUCGGGGUCUGCAACUCGACCCCGUGAAGUCGGAGUCGCUAGUAAUCGCAGAUCAGCAAUGCUGCGGUGAAUACGUUCCCGGGCCUUGUACACACCGCCCGUCACGUCACGAAAGUCGGUGACACCCGAAGCCGGUGGCCCAACCCUUGUGGGGGGAGCCGUCGAAGGUGGGACCGGCGAUUGGGACGAAGUCGUAACAAGGUAGCCGUACCGGAAGGUGCGGCUGGAUCACCUCCUUUCUAAGGAGCUUUCUGACUGGGGCCUUCUGUAGUGGGGGGUUUCUGGUGCAGAGCGAAGACCGGCCGGAUGGUUGGUCUGGGGUGCUCAUGGGUGUGGAACGCUGACUAUGUUCUUUCUGGUCUGGUUGUUGUCCGGGGUUCCUCUGUGUUCUUCGGGUGGUGGCUGGUCUGGG